GCUCUAUGAUUGUUGACGAAGUGUGAGGCUGUCAUACAAUUGCCCUUGAUUUUCAUGAAUAGGUCCUGUUUAUUCUGUUACGGUUAAACCAGAAUUGAGCUUAGCAACCUUCUGUGAUGUCUCAUGUUCGUCUUCGACUCAAUUUGUUUAGUUUUAAAGUUCUGUAGUUCCACGGAUCUAAUCGUCCAGUUAAGAGGUUUAAUAAGCUGCUAAUGAGUUCGUUCAUGGUUUUGAUGGAUGUUCGGUGACCUCCCUUUCAAUUCCGAUUCAUUUGGUCGUCGAUUUGUCGUCGGCACAAGGUUCAGUUCGAGUUCUGUCGUGUUCGUAUUCCCGUUAGCUUCUUGCUCGCUGCUCAAUUAAAGGUUUGCGAUUUGCUAGAGAAAGAGGAAAAAAUGAAAAUGCUGAAUUUCACGUCAUGGAGGUCCAGUACAUCCAGGCAGAGAUUGUUUCGCUGAUUUGAUCAUGUUCUGUUUAUUCUUUGUGAAUGAGGUAUGUGUACACACCCCUGUUACUCUGUUUAAAUUUCAUAUGGAAAAGCCAAUCUGUUCAUCUUUUAAUUGGGUUCAAAUGUAUAGAUCUAUCGUGUGUAUCUGCUGGUUUGUUUCGAAUUGCCCUUUCUUUUAGACUACAGAAUUGUUGAUCCUCUAAUUGUAUUCGUGUCUUGGUUGCAGUUAAUUCCACACUCAUCAAC
rnacentral:lncRNA from 1 species